CAAUAGCGUAUAUUAAAGUUGUUGCAGUUAGAACGCUCGUAGUCGGAUUUCGGGGCGGGCCGACCGGUCUGCCGAUGGGUAUGCACUGGUCGGCGCGUCCUUCCUUCCGGAGACCGUCCCUACUCUUAACUGAGCGGGGGCGGGAGACGGGACUUUUACUUUGAAAAAAUCAGAGUGUUUCAAGCAGGCAGCUCGCUCUUGCAUGGAUUAGCAUGGGAUAAUGAAAUAGGACUUUGGUGCUAUUUUGUUGGUUUCGAACACCGAAGUAAUGAUGAGAAGGGACAGUCAGGGGCACUCGUAUUCCGCCGAGAGAGGUGAAAUUCUCAGACCAGCGGAAGACGAACCACUGCGAAAGCAUUUGCCAGGGAUGUUUUCACUGG
rnacentral:rRNA from 1 species